rnacentral:rRNA from 1 species
UUUGUUGCAUGCAGCGAAUUUGCCUGUUAUUGCCUGUAUUACACCCUUGUCUCUCAACUACUCUUUGUUUCCUUGGUAGGCUUGCCUGCCAGAUGGACAACACUAUAACCUAUUAAAUUUUCAAUCAGCGUCUGAAUAAAUUAAUAAUUACAACUUUCAACAACGGAUCUCUUGGUUCUGGCAUCGAUGAAGAACGCAGCGAAAUGCGAUAAGUAGUGUGAAUUGCAGAAUUCAGUGAAUCAUCGAAUCUUUGAACGCACAUUGCGCCCCUUGGUAUUCCAUGGGGCAUGCCUGUUCGAGCGUCAUUUGUAACUUCAAGCUAUGCUUGGUGUUGGGUGUUUGUCCUUGCUCUUUUAGAGUUGGACUCGCCUCAAAGUAAUUGGCAGCCAGUAUUUUGGUUUGGAGCGCAGCACAAUUGGGGAUUCAGCCCAAAAUAAUUGCUUCCAUUAAGCUAAUUAUCACUUUUGACCUC